rnacentral:rRNA from 1 species
AUGAAAUCGGAUGAUGGACGGAUGGAGGCCUGCCUGCCUGAUAACGCUGCCGUCCUUCGGUCCUGCGAUCCUGCCUCUCCGGCUUUAAAUCUCGCACAGAGGAAACGCGUUGUCCGAGCCCCCAAAAACAUUCAAGUCUUCUCCAUGGGCUGCUCUACGCGUGAAACGUUUGAGUCGCCCACAACAGGCCGCCGGAAUGAAAUCUUUGGCUCAAAGUGGAAUUCCAGUUCCAUUUUCCGGGAGCUGUGGUACAACAUGAUGCAUCUUCAGAAAGUUCGCAGCAUGCUAUGCAUCUUGUGCUGA